GGCAGGUGAUGGCCUUUCUCGCGAUGGUUUCAGAGGCCCCGACCGAUGGGGGUUAUUGUUGAUUCUGCCUUAAGGCUCAGCUGAUGCCGGCUU
rnacentral:snoRNA from 1 species